rnacentral:rRNA from 1 species
CUAAACGGCCGCGGCACUAAAACCGUGCAAAGGUAGCACAAUCACUUGUCCAUUAAAUGAGGACCCGUAUGAAAGGCAACAUGAGAGAAAACCUGUCUCUUAAGACUAGCCAAUGAAAUUGUACUACCAGUACAAAAACUGGUAUAUCAAAGCAAGACAAAAAGACCCUGUGGAACUUUUAACAAAUUGUUUAAACACGUAAACAACAGUUUCAGUUGGGACAACUUUAGAAAAAAUAAACUUCUUAAUUUACCAAGACAAACAAGUCUAAGACACCACAGAUCCAGUAAUACUGAUUAACGAAACAAGCUACCCCAGGGAUAACAGCGCUACCUUCUCAAAGAGUCCAUAUCAACAAGAAGAUCUACGACCUCGAUGUUGGAUCAGGGUAUCCAGACGGUGCAACAGCUGUCAAUGGUUCGUUUGUUCAACGAUUAAUACCCUACGUGA